UGCAAGUAGAACGCUGAAGAGAGGAGCUUGCUCUUCUUGGAUGAGUUGCGAACGGGUGAGUAACGCGUAGGUAACCUGCCUUGUAGCGGGGGAUAACUAUUGGAAACGAUAGCUAAUACCGCAUAACAAUGGAUGACACAUGUCAUUUAUUUGAAAGGGGCAAUUGCUCCACUACAAGAUGGACCUGCGUUGUAUUAGCUAGUAGGUGAGGUAACGGCUCACCUAGGCGACGAUACAUAGCCGACCUGAGAGGGUGAUCGGCCACACUGGGACUGAGACACGGCCCAGACUCCUACGGGAGGCAGCAGUAGGGAAUCUUCGGCAAUGGGGGCAACCCUGACCGAGCAACGCCGCGUGAGUGAAGAAGGUUUUCGGAUCGUAAAGCUCUGUUGUAAGUCAAGAACGAGUGUGAGAGUGGAAAGUUCACACUGUGACGGUAGCUUACCAGAAAGGGACGGCUAACUACGUGCCAGCAGCCGCGGUAAUACGUAGGUCCCGAGCGUUGUCCGGAUUUAUUGGGCGUAAAGCGAGCGCAGGCGGUUUGAUAAGUCUGAAGUUAAAGGCUGUGGCUCAACCAUAGUUCGCUUUGGAAACUGUCAAACUUGAGUGCAGAAGGGGAGAGUGGAAUUCCAUGUGUAGCGGUGAAAUGCGUAGAUAUAUGGAGGAACACCGGUGGCGAAAGCGGCUCUCUGGUCUGUAACUGACGCUGAGGCUCGAAAGCGUGGGGAGCGAACAGGAUUAGAUACCCUGGUAGUCCACGCCGUAAACGAUGAGUGCUAGGUGUUGGAUCCUUUCCGGGAUUCAGUGCCGCAGCUAACGCAUUAAGCACUCCGCCUGGGGAGUACGACCGCAAGGUUGAAACUCAAAGGAAUUGACGGGGGCCCGCACAAGCGGUGGAGCAUGUGGUUUAAUUCGAAGCAACGCGAAGAACCUUACCAGGUCUUGACAUCCCGAUGCUAUUUCUAGAGAUAGAAAGUUACUUCGGUACAUCGGUGACAGGUGGUGCAUGGUUGUCGUCAGCUCGUGUCGUGAGAUGUUGGGUUAAGUCCCGCAACGAGCGCAACCCCUAUUGUUAGUUGCCAUCAUUCAGUUGGGCACUCUAGCGAGACUGCCGGUAAUAAACCGGAGGAAGGUGGGGAUGACGUCAAAUCAUCAUGCCCCUUAUGACCUGGGCUACACACGUGCUACAAUGGUUGGUACAACGAGUUGCGAGUCGGUGACGGCAAGCUAAUCUCUUAAAGCCAAUCUCAGUUCGGAUUGUAGGCUGCAACUCGCCUACAUGAAGUCGGAAUCGCUAGUAAUCGCGGAUCAGCACGCCGCGGUGAAUACGUUCCCGGGCCUUGUACACACCGCCCGUCACACCACGAGAGUUUGUAACACCCGAAGUCGGUGAGGUAACCUUUUGGAGCCAGCCGCCUAA
rnacentral:rRNA from 1 species